UACGAAGGGGGGCUAGCGUUGUUCGGAAUUACUGGGCGUAAAGCGCGUGUAGGCGGUUCGGUAAGUCUGCUGUGAAAGUCCAGGGCUCAACCCUGGGAUGCCGGUGGAUACUGUCGGACUAGAGUACGGGAGAGGAUCGCGGAAUUCCCGGUGUAGAGGUGAAAUUCGUAGAUAUCGGGAGGAACACCGGUGGCGAAGGCGGGUCUCUGGGCCGUAACUGACGCUGAGGCGCGAAAGCGUGGGGGAGCAAACAGGG
rnacentral:rRNA from 1 species